rnacentral:tRNA from 1 species
GCCCGCUUAGCUCAGUGGUAGAGCGCGCGCUUCACACGCGCGAAGUCGCAGGUUCGAGUCCUGCAGCGGGCA